GGAGCUAUGACUCAGUUGGCAGAGUACUUGCCUAGCAUUCAUGAAGCCCUGGGUUUGAUUCCUAGCACCA
rfam:Cricetulus griseus cell line CHO-K1, whole genome shotgun sequence.